CCUACGGGUGGCACCAGUGGGGAAUAUUGCACAAUGGGCGCAAGCCUGAUGCAGCCAUGCCGCGUGUAUGAAGGAGGCCUUCGGGUUGUAAAGUACUUUCAGCGAGGAGGAAGGCGUUAAGGUUAAUAACCUUAGCGAUUGACGUUACUCGCAGAAGAAGCACCGGCUAACUCCGUGCCAGCAGCCGCGGUAAUACGGAGGGUGCAAGCGUUAAUCGGGAUUACUGGGCGUAAAGCGCACGCAGGCGGUCUGUCAAGUCGGAUGUGAAAUCCCCGGGCUCAACCUGGGAACUGCAUUCGAAACUGCAGGCUAGAGUCUUGUAGAGGGGGGUAGAAUUCCAGGUGUAGCGGUGAAAUGCGUAGAGAUCUGGAGGAAUACCGGUGGCGAAGGCGGCCCCCUGACAAAGACUGACGCUCAGGUGCGAAAGCGUGGGGAGCAAACAGGAUUAGAUACCCCGGUAGUC
rnacentral:rRNA from 1 species